rnacentral:rRNA from 1 species
GACGAACGCUGGCGGCGUGCUUAACACAUGCAAGUCGAACGGAAAGGCCCUGCUUUUGUGGGGUGCUCGAGUGGCGAACGGGUGAGUAACACGUGAGUAACCUGCCCUUGACUUUGGGAUAACUUCAGGAAACUGGGGCUAAUACCGGAUAGGAGCUCCUGCUGCAUGGUGGGGGUUGGAAAGUUUCGGCGGUUGGGGAUGGACUCGCGGCUUAUCAGCUUGUUGGUGGGGUAGUGGCUUACCAAGGCUUUGACGGGUAGCCGGCCUGAGAGGGUGACCGGCCACAUUGGGACUAAGGGACGGCCCAGACUCCUACGGGCGGCAGCAGUGGGGAAUAUUGCACAGUGGGCGGAAGCCUGAUACAGCAACGCCGCGUGCGUGAUGACGGCCUUCGGGUUGUAAACCGCUUUCGCCUGUGACGAAGCGUGAGUGACGGUAAUGGGUAAAGAAGCACCGGCUAACUACGUG